CCCCGGCGGCAGACCCAGGUUCGGGACCAUGAGCUGGUGGAGAGAGACUUUGAAAGGGAGUAUGGAAAACUUCAGCAGCUGGAAGAGCAGACCCGGAGGCUGCAGAAAGACAUGAAGAAGAGCACCGACGCCGACCUGGCCAUGUCAAAAUCUGCCGUGAAGAUAUCCUUGGACUUACUCUCUAAUCCCCUCUGUGAGCAAGACCAGGACCUUCUGAACAUGGUGAUGGCCCUGGACACGGCCGUGAAGCGGAUGGACGCCUUCAAUCAGGAAAAGGUGAACCAGAUCCAGAAGACUGUGAUCGAGCCCUUAAAAAAAUUCGGCAGCGUCUUCCCGAGCCUCAACAUGGCGGUGAAGCGGCGGGAACAGGCCUUGCAGGACUAUAGGAGGCUGCAGGCCAAGGUGGAGAAGUAUGAGGAAAAGGAGAAGACGGGGCCAGUGCUGGCCAAGCUCCACCAGGCGCGAGAGGAGCUGCGGCCUGUGCGGGAGGACUUUGAAGCCAAAAACAGGCAGCUGCUGGAGGAGAUGCCGCGCUUCUACGGCAGCCGCCUCGACUACUUCCAGCCCAGCUUCGAGUCCCUCAUCCGAGCUCAGGUUGUGUACUACUCGGAAAUGCACAAGAUCUUUGGAGACCUGUCCCAUCAGCUUGACCAGCCAGGCCACUCCGAUGAGCAGCGGGAGCGGGAGAACGAGGCCAAACUCAGUGAGCUCCGGGCCCUCUCCAUUGUGGCCGAUGACUGAAUCCCCGUCACUCUUGGAGGACUCCUGUGACGUGGUCAGCCUCACUCAUCCUUGCCCUUCUCAGGGCUAGCUGCUCCUCUCACAGGCUGGGGACAGAGGUGGCCCUGGUUCACUUGCUGGCCCUUUGCAAUGAAUGACUCUUCCUGAGCCUG
rnacentral:sRNA from 1 species